UGGGGAAUCUUGGACAAUGGGCGCAAGCCUGAUCCAGCCAUGCCGCGUGGAUGAUGAAGGCCUUAGGGUUGUAAAAUCCUUUCGUUGGGGACGAUAAUGACGGUACCCAAAGAAGAAGCUCCGGCUAACUUCGUGCCAGCAGCCGCGGUAAUACGAAGGGGGCUAGCGUUGUUCGGAUUUACUGGGCGUAAAGCGCGUGUAGGCGGGUCGUUAAGUUGGGGGUGAAAUCCCGAGGCUCAACCUCGGAACUGCCUUCAAAACUGGCGACCUGGACCUAAGUAGAGGCAAGUGGAAUUGCGAGUGUAGAGGUGAAAUUCGUAGAUAUUCGCAGGAACACCAGUGGCGAAGGCGACUUGCUGGACUUAUGGUGACGCUGAGGCGCGAAAGCGUGGGGAGCAAACAGGAUUAGAUACCCAAGUAGUCCCUGAGCGGGCUGGCAAGGCGCAU
rnacentral:rRNA from 1 species